AAUCAUCGUAACUCUAGUUCUUACUUUCCAAAAUGCUUUAACUUGUACAAUUGAUCUCAAAACACUUCAAUCAUUCCAACUCCCAAACCACAAUAUUUAUUCUUAAAUUGUAGUGUAUAUAUAUAUAUAUAUAUGCAUAAUUGACUUAAAUUCAAGUUAUAUUUCCCCCUUAAACGGGGAUUCCAGAUUCAGCUGAAGCUAUAUAUCUGAUUUUCAAAGCUUUCAGGAUCAUUUCAAGAUGGACUCCUUUUCAUAGGGAAAGUGAAAAAAACAUGUCAAUCCGGAUGGUACUAUAAUAUGCCUAUGUUCGAAGUGUGUGAAUAGGGAGUCUCAUAAUGUCAAGGAUAUUCGAUUUCACAUACUUAGAUUUGGGUUUAAGUCGGGUUGUAGAAGAUAGAUACAUCAUGGGGAAGAUGGAGAAAACUAGGAUGAAGAGGACGGCAUCUCCACUUCCGAUGACGAAAUUGAUGAAAUGAGAAACAUUCUUGUAGACGAACAAGAGAGAACUUACUAUAAUAUUGGAACGACUGAUGAUUUGGAGGGUUUGCCUAUUCUUGAAAGUGUUCAACACAGAGUAGAUAACUAGGUGGAAGAGUUAGAAUAAGAGUUGUAUAUCUGAAUGUAAGCAAAAUUCUGCGCUUAAUUUUAUUGUAAAGAUGAUGAACAUCAAAGUGUUGAACAACUUGUCCACAAAGCUUUUAUGAUGCUAUUGGAGUUAUGUCGCAAUGUAUUGCCUGAAGGAAAUAAGUGCCCUGCAUCGUUCCAUGAAACAAAGUUGUUAAGAA